rnacentral:rRNA from 1 species
UACGAAGGGGGCUAGCGUUGCUCGGAAUCACUGGGCGUAAAGCGCACGUAGGCGGACUCUUAAGUCGGUGGUGAAAUCCUGGAGCUCAACUCCAGAACUGCCUUCGAUACUGAGAGUCUCGAGUCCGAGAGAGGUGAGUGGAACUGCGAGUGUAGAGGUGAAAUUCGUAGAUAUUCGCAAGAACACCAGUGGCGAAGGCGGCUCACUGGCUCGGUACUGACGCUGAGGUGCGAAAGCGUGGGGAGCAAACAGGGAU